UACAGAGGAUGCAAGCGUUAUCCGGAAUGAUUGGGCGUAAAGCGUCUGUAGGUGGCUUUUUAAGUCCGCCGUCAAAUCCCAGGGCUCAACUCUGGACAGGCGGUGGAAACUACCAAGCUGGAGUACGGUAGGGGCAGAGGGAAUUUCCGGUGGAGCGGUGAAAUGCGCAGAUAUCAGGAGGAACACCGGUGGCGAAGGCGGUGGUCUGGGCCGACACUGACGCUGUAGAGCGAAAGCGUGGGGAGCGAACAGG
rnacentral:rRNA from 1 species